GACGAACGCUGGCGGCGUGCCUAAUACAUGCAAGUCGAACGCUUUUUCUUUCACCGGAGCUUGCUCCACCGAAAGAAAAAGAGUGGCGAACGGGUGAGUAACACGUGGGUAACCUGCCCAUCAGAAGGGGAUAACACUUGGAAACAGGUGCUAAUACCGUAUAUCACUAUUUUCCGCAUGGAAGAAAGUUGAAAGGCGCUUUUGCGUCACUGAUGGAUGGACCCGCGGUGCAUUAGCUCGUUGGUGAGGUAACGGCUCACCAAGGCAACGAUGCAAAGCCGACCUGGGAGGGUGAUCGGCCACACUGGGACUGAGACACGGCCCAGACUCCUACGGGAGGUAGCAGUAGGGAAUCUUCGGCAAUGGACGAAAGUCUGACCGAGCAACGCCGCGUGAGUGAAGAAGGUUUUCGGAUCGUAAAACUCUGUUGUUAGAGAAGAACAAGGAUGAGAGUAAAACGUUCAUCCCUUGACGGUAUCUAACCAGAAAGCCACGGCUAACUACGUGCCAGCCGCCGCCGUAA
rnacentral:rRNA from 1 species